GUCGAGGGGAAACGAAUUGAAGCUUGCUUCGAUGGCGUCGACCGGCGCACGGGUGAGUAACGCGUAUCCACCUGCCCAUCACUUGGGAAUAACCUUGCGAAAGUAAGACUAAUGCCCAAUGACAAGGCAUCUGUAAAGAUUUAUCGGUGAUGGAUGGGGAUGCGUCUGAUUAGCUUGUUGGUGGGGUAACGGCCCACCAAGGCGACGAUCAGUAGGGGUUCUGAGAGGAAGGUCCCCCACAUUGGAACUGAGACACGGUCCAAACUCCUACGGGAGGCAGCAGUGAGGAAUAUUGGUCAAUGGGCGAGAGCCUGAACCAGCCAAGUAGCGUGCAGGAUGACGGCCUAUGGGUUGUAAACUGCUUUUAUAGGGGAAUAAGUGAGAGUCGUGACUCUUUUUGCAUGUACCCUAUGAAUAAGGACCGGCUAAUUCCGUGCCAGCAGCCGCGGUAAUACGGAAGGUCCGGGCGUUAUCCGGAUUUAUUGGGUUUAAAGGGAGCGUAGGCCGGAGAUUAAGCGUGUUGUGAAAUGUAGAUGCUCAACAUCUGCACUGCAGCGCGAACUGGUUUCCUUGAGUACGCAUAAAGUGGGCGGAAUUCGUGGUGUAGCGGUGAAAUGCUUAGAUAUCACGAAGAACUCCGAUUGCGAAGGCAGCUCACUGGGGCGCAACUGACGCUGAAGCUCGAAAGCGCGGGUAUCGAACAGGAUUAGAUACCCUGGUAGUCCGCGCGGUAAACGAUGGAU
rnacentral:rRNA from 1 species